rnacentral:lncRNA from 1 species
AAUGCCAUAGGUGCUGUGCAGCCUUUUGGAGCUCUUUGAGCACACAGCAGCAGCUGAACUCCCGUGACUUACCUACCCAAACUACAGCAAGUCCAGGCAAUGGCUACAUAGUUUUUGUGGAGCUCUUACCCAACAGAGGACAAACAUUUCCCAGGAAAGCUUUGGUGUUGCAGCACCGAGGCACAGAGGCUUUUUGUCGCCAGAGAAAUCACAGGUGUUUUUUUCAGAGAGAGCAGCAGGAGGCAUUGCAAGCAGAUCUUUGAUGCUGCGGAUCAGAGAUGGACCCUGGUGAAAACUGGAAGCUGGAUGAAACAAACUGGUUGUCUCAUGGUGGGAUCCACCCCUUUUCCAAUGUGAAAGGAGACAAUGAGCUCUCCGAAGGUGCCCCAGCCCUCUUUGCUCUGGAUCAGCUGGGUAAGUCCAUGCAUGACACAUUUUCCCCUGCCUGGUUUUUUUAUGUUGAGUAAUUAGGAGGUGGCUUAAACAACAGGGCAGCUGCUAAAUGCUUUUGAAUUUAUCAGCACCAGUGCCUCCUUUCUGUGCUGUUUUUGAAUGCCAUCCAUCAAAGGGAUGGAAUAACUUGACACUAGAUGUGUUUGAUAGCUUUCUGUGUUAAAUUGAUGCAGGGGUUUUUUUCCCCUGGGAGAAAAGCUGUUAUCUUUCUGGUGCAGAGCACUAUAGGAUGCUGUUGUUUCUUGGCUGGG